rnacentral:rRNA from 1 species
GCUGCAUGGCUGUCGUCAGCUCGUGUUGUGAAAUGUUGGGUUAAGUCCCGCAACGAGCGCAACCCUUAUCCUUUGUUGCCAGCGGUCCGGCCGGGAACUCAAAGGAGACUGCCAGUGAUAAACUGGAGGAAGGUGGGGAUGACGUCAAGUCAUCAUGGCCCUUACGACCAGGGCUACACACGUGCUACAAUGGCGCAUACAAAGAGAAGCGACCUCGCGAGAGCAAGCGGACCUCAUAAAGUGCGUCGUAGUCCGGAUUGGAGUCUGCAACUCGACUCCAUGAAGUCGGAAUCGCUAGUAAUCGUGGAUCAGAAUGCCACGGUGAAUACGUUCCCGGGCCUUGUACACACCGCCCGUCACACCAUGGGAGUGGGUUGCAAAAGAAGUAGGUAGCUUAACCUUCGGGAGGGCGCUUACCACUUUGUGAUUCAUGACUGGGGUGAAGUCGUAACAAGGUAACCGUAGGGGAACCUGCGGUUGGAUCACCUCCUUACCUUAAAGAA